GCAUGGAGCGCGAACAAAGGGGCGUCCAAGAUGGACGCCAUGAGGAGCUACGCGGCCAGAGUGAGGAGAUGAGGAAGAAGGAAGUGGGGGGCAUGGAGCGCGAACAAAGGGGUGUCCAAGAUGGACGCCAUGAGGGGCUACGCGGCCGGAGUGAGGAGAUGAGGAAGAAGGAGGCUGGCUGAGGGCUCCUCGGGAAUGGAAAGGGCUUCUUAGACCUUGAUGGCUGAAAUGUCCUGAAACUGUCGCAAGCUUAGCCGAGACAUCAAUAAAUCACUUAAACUGCAUGAGAGUGACCGACUGCUGUUGGAAAGGAGAAACUCAGUGACUGAGUGCUGGGGAGGCGUCCAAAUACACAGACUUGCUUUUUGUAUGGUUUUGGGUGGAGUUCCCAGCUCUCCUAUUACAAGAGCGUAUGUAGGUAUUUGGAAGGACGAGGGGGACAGUGUGCUGUGGAAAUGCCCAAGAUCUGAGGGCAGGAGACCAUUCUCCAGUGACAGCCUCUUGGGAGGUUGAGGCCCCAGCCCCUUAUCUCUUCAAGGCUGAUUCACUAAUACCCCAGCACCACAGAGGGGAGAGGGACUCUGUCCUCCUAAACAAGUCAAGUCCAAAAGCCCCCACUGGAACACAGGGCCUACCCAGUUCAUGUUUUGAGGGAGACCAAGCUUUCCGUGAUGAUAAUGCGAUGAAACAAUUGAUGCGUCAGAACACAGCAGUUGAGAAACAAUGGAGCAGAUGGUGUCAAAAUCCCAGCACCAGAAAGGCUCAUCUAAGGCCGGGCAACCAAAAUGUUCUCGGGACUAUUCUGUACUUAACCCUGGUUUCUGCUUAGGGGACGGUGGGACAAUAUGCAUAUGGAUGUCUAUGUGGGAUUUGUUGCAAGAGCACAACACACCCCUUGACCUAUGCAAGUGCCAGAGUGUCUGAGUCCAGCUUCUACUCCUGUUAAUGAUCACGGGAGCCUCAAUACACAACCAUUGUGCAUGGCGGCUGGAGUAUGGAGUAGUAAGUGGUAUCUAGAAAGGCAGGUCUACAGUGGCAUAUGGGAUUUCCUGGUACUUCUUCUUUAAUAGAAACUAUCUUCACAGAUCAUGACAUCAGGUCAGCUGCAUUUCUCACUGGGACCAAUAAACAAUAGAAGCAACAACCAUAAAGACUUAAGAGGACAAAGGAAACCAAACCUCACUGUGUGUCUUCAAGAUCUUCUGUUCACAUAGUUGCAGGAAGUUGCUGUAGACAAAGUACAUUACUAAAGAAUGAAGCCCACCCAGGACAUCACAGCAACGAAAGAACUAUUUCUGGUAACUGUGGACCAGAUAAGCUACAAGACAGAAGGCCACAUAUCUCCCCAGGUGGUCUCCCUCACCUGACAAUAUAAAUUAACAGCUUAUCUUCAUAGGUAAGGGACAAAGACAACACCAGAAACCAUCCCUCAGCAGCCGAGACAAAACGUAGAUGUACUGAGCUGAAUGCAUAACUGUUCCUCUGCCCGCUGCUUUCACUGUAACAUGUAGAUUUGGUGAGCACUAAAUGUAGAUUUACUGAGCUGAAUGCGUAACUGUU